rnacentral:misc_RNA from 1 species
AGAAGUUAAAGAUUAAAAUUGAAAUAAAAGAACAUUAUCACUAACUAAUUCAUGAAUGAAGUAUAUUACAGUUAGCAAAGAACUUCUUAGAAAUAACAAGAAAAAACCAUAAUAGUUUUUGGAGGAUACUAUUUAUCUAUCAAUUUAAUCCAUCACAUUUAUACUAAUAUAAGAUCAGCUCUCAAAUUGAAACAAACAUUUCAAUUAGUAAAAUAAAUAAGAUAAGCUAUUUAAAUAUGUAUGAGGGCCAAAUGUCCCAAAAAAAAAUCCAUGAGUUCAUUUUACACCCCUUUCAAUUGUGCCAAUUAUAUCCUAGAGUGUAGGUAUCAAUUAUAGUUAUUUCUAUUGUUGGCCCUUGUUUAGACAUGUAAUAAAUUUAAUUGGACAUGACAUGGCAAGCUGACAUACUAAUAUGACAUCCAAAAUAGACAUGCUAUAUCAACAUUUAUACAUCAUAAAAUGAAUAUGUCUGAUUAGCAGUUACCAUUUUUAUCGAUAUUUGUAAACUUUAGUUUUAAUAUAUUUUCUUUAUUUGUUUUAUGAAUGCUAUCCCAUCAUUGGCUUAUACCCAAAUGGAUCAAUGUAUAUAUCAUUCAGCCUUAGAUUGUGAAAAUCAUCAAAGGGUCAAACAUCACAAUCUAUUGCAUAAUCUAAGCUAAAGCAUAUAUACAUUAACAACAAG